UUCGAUAUUUGUUGGAUGAGGAAAAACUCUGUCGUUUUGCUUCUUUCUCUUUCUCCUCUCUCUUUCGCGACGAGCUCUUCUCUCUUUCUCAACUCUCUCUGUAGCGACUCUUUCUUGUUGAGAAUCUGAGUAUUAUCAAGCCGCUUUAGCCAUUCACAUGUCAUGGUUUCUCCUCUCGCUCCCAGAUUCUUACAAACCCUAACCCAAUUCCCUAAUUCUCGGUUUCUUGCUCCAUGUUCUGUUUUGAGUUUAAUAACGCAGAUAAACUGAGAAUUUUGAGAAGUCAAAUUGCUCCUUUUCAAUCCAACAGAGUUCGGUUAAAAACCCUUUUUUUGUCUGCUCAGUCCAGUUUCUUGAAAGGAAAAAGCAAAGAAAGAACAGUGGAUUAUCAUAGGGUGGAGGCUCAACGCUUCCUUUUUUGUUGUCUUAAUCUCAGGAUAUUGCAGCAAAAAUCUUUCCAAGCAGAAGCUGUCUUCACGGAACCUUCAGGUGAUGAUGAGUCUUUGCAGAAUGAGAAUGUCAAUCAAGUCAAUGGCAAUCCAAAUGCUUGCUGGAAUGUGUAAAGUUGAUUUGAAUAGUUGUUUUGAAUCUCUUUGCUUAUAGUCAUGAAUCUCUGUUUUGAAUCUCUGUUUUUUUUUUGUCAAUGAAUAUAUGUUUUGUAUUUGACAAGUUUUUAAUGUGAUUAUGAUGAACUCUUCAAAAAAAAAAUCUUAA